GCCCAGUGUGGUGCAGUGGUUUGAGUGUUGUACUACAACUUUGGAGACCAGGGUUCGAUUUCCAGCUUGGCCA
rnacentral:tRNA from 1 species